CCUACGGGGUGCAGCAGUGAGGAAUAUUGGUCAAUGGACGAGAGUCUGAACCAGCCAAGUAGCGUGAAGGAUGACUGCCCUAUGGGUUGUAAACUUCUUUUAUAUGGGAAUAAAACGUUCCACGUGUGGGAUUUUGUAUGUACCAUAUGAAUAAGGAUCGGCUAACUCCGUGCCAGCAGCCGCGGUAAUACGGAGGAUCCGAGCGUUAUCCGGAUUUAUUGGGUUUAAAGGGAGCGUAGGUGGAUUGUUAAGUCAGUUGUGAAAGUUUGCGGCUCAAACGUAAAAUUGCAGUUGAAACUGGCAGUCUUGAGUACAGUAGAGGUGGGCGGAAUUCGUGGUGUAGCGGUGAAAUGCUUAGAUAUCACGAAGAACUCCGAUUGCGAAGGCAGUUCACUGGACUGCAACUGACACUGAGGCUCGAAAGUGUGGGUAUCAAACAGGAUUAGAUACCCUUGUAGUC
rnacentral:rRNA from 1 species